CAUAAGCGCAUUCUUAAAAACUAAAACGUGUUUAUAUACUACGUUAUAAUUUUCCCCUUUUUUUUUUUAUUCUUGCAUGUUUUUAUACAACUCAUUUUAAGUUAAAAAGAGAAAAAGAAAAAAAGAGAAAAAGAGAAAAAAAAAAAAAAAGAGAAAAAGAAAAAAAGAGAAAAAGAAAAAAAGAGAAAAAGAAAAAAAGAGAAAAAAAAAAAAGAAAAAAAAAAAAAAAAAGAAAAACAAAAAAAGAGAAAAAAAAAAAAAGAAAUAGCAGUUACAUACUCUGUUAGUACAUAAGCACAAAAAUAAUUAACCGAAAAAAUGAACUUAAGCAAGAUGAAAGGAAGUUACAUAAAUAAACACCUGCUUCGUAAUGUACGACACACGAAACAUUACAAAUACAUAAGCACUGAUGCACUAAAAAGCAUCAAUAAUGGUACUACUGGAGUUUUACACUAUAAAAAUGAUAACAUGUUAAACCCUUCUUAUGCUAAUUUAAUAAAUAAAAAUAAACUUAGCACAUACAAAACUAAAACAUUUACACCCGACAUGUAUAACAAUACAGCACCUAGUUAUGUGAAUUCGAUUUAUAAAGACAUUACUAAUGGUAGUAGUAGUAGUAGUUAUGGUAAUAGUAUUAGCAAUAAUAGUAAUAAUAUGUAUGGUCAAAAUUAUAGCAUUAACCCUUUAAGUAGUAAUUAUAACACUAACUACUACGGUAAUAAUAACAACAAUCUUUGUGGUAGUAAUUAUAAUAACAAUUCUAGUAAUAAUAUGUACAGUCAUUAUAAUCCUAAUUUUAGAUAUGGAAUGACAAAUAAUAUGAAUGUACCAAAAAACAAUUUUAAUAGUAUUAAUGAAACUACAGAUAUUAAUACUACUACCAACCCUCCUACUGCUCCUACUACCACAUAUCAAUAUUACAGCCUUUUUGGUAGUACUUGUAUGUGUUUAUUCAAACCUAUAUUUCCUGAUCAAUUUAUUAAUAAAAAUAAAAUAACUAUAUUUGGCAAGGGUGGAUUUCAAUUUGUUUUUAUGAAAAAAAUCAUAAAUACUAAUAAGUAUGAUAAAAAUAAUAAAAUGAGUAUAUUCUGCAAAAUCAAUACAUUAUAUAAUUUGUUAUUAAUUAACACAAUUGAAGAUAUAACAUCCCCUAUAAUUAUUAAAGGAACUAACAACAACUAUGUAAUAUUUGAUAAGCAUGCAGAAAAAAAAGAUAGUGUUGUUAUAAAAUAUAAAUACAACCCGACAACAGCAACAUCAACAGCAACUAAUAGUAAUAAUAACUUAGAUCAGAAUAUAGACAAUAAUUUAAAUGAUAUGAAUAAUAAUCUAUUUAAUGAUAUACAAAAAAAUGAAAAUACUAUUGAAAAUCUAGAAGAUAAAAAAAAAAAUAAUUUUGAAUUGUUACAUGUGAGCUUUACCUUUUCUGAAUUUCUAAUUUUUCAAAGAGCAGCAAAUAUGUUACUGCCUCAACUUUUGGGAUGGGCCAAACAGUGAAAUGUAUUACAUUUUUUUUGUAAAGCAUAAGUUGCUAAUAUUAUAUAUAUUUAUGCUUAUUUAUGCAUGCUUAUUUUUUAUUUUUUUUUAUUUUUUUUUUUUUUUUUUUAACACUUGCUUAUGUAAAAAAACCAACUUUAUAUACAAUACAUUCAAACAAGUGUUUCCUAUUGUAUAUAAAGUAACGAGUA
ensembl:lncRNA